GCACGAGCGCAGAACAAAGGGCCGGACAUGCUCCAGCCCGCUCCGCCUGCGCCUCGGCCUUGCGCGCGGGGGCCCGGGUUACCUGCGCAGAGCCAGCUGUGAUGUAAAGAAGUUUGUGCUGCAUGAGAGAGAUAGCACCUGAAGAAAAUGAGGCCCUGGAGGAUGAGAGACUCUAAAGGAAAAGGGAAGGGCCUGCUGUCUUCCAGCCACGCCAGCCCCCAACUGAGAAGCUGGGCUGGAGUGCUGUGGCACAACCAUAGCUCACUGCAGCCUCC
rnacentral:lncRNA from 1 species